rnacentral:rRNA from 1 species
GACGUAGGGCGCGGGCGUUGUCCGGAUUUAUUGGGCGUAAAGAGCUCGUAGGCGGCUUGUCGCGUCGUCCGUGAAAACCAGGGGCUCAACCCCUGGCUUGCGGUCGAUACGGGCAGGCUAGAGUUCGGUAGGGGAGACUGGAAUUCCUGGUGUAGCGGUGAAAUGCGCAGAUAUCAGGAGGAACACCGGUGGCGAAGGCGGGUCUCUGGGCCGAUACUGACGCUGAGGAGCGAAAGCGUGGGGAGCGAACAGG